GUGAAACCCUCCUCUUCUCUUCUCUUCUCUGCAACUGAUUCUCUUCUUCUUCAUACUCUUCCAUUCUUUUCAUAUUUCUUAAUUGAAGCAAACUCAUUCGGUAUCACUUCUCCACCCGAAGAAUCCGUCGCUAAUUCAAAUCCUUCUUUCACCGACGGCGUUGCCACCAAAGAUAUUCACAUCGAUCCUUUCACCUGGGUUUAGCUUCUUGUUAAUUACGUCAUGUGUGUUCUUCUCUGCUAGGAAUUCAAUUUCUUGUUGGGGUUCUGAAAUUGAGAAUGGGUAUAUUGCUGAAUGGGUUUAGCUUGUCGAGAUAUUGCUGAAUGGGUAUAUUGUUGAAUCAGAGUUUGUGUGUUUUCAUUGGUGACAACGAUCUCCACCACUGUUUUGCUGCUGUUUGUAGAGAUAAAAACAAGAUGAAUAUGACUUCUUCAUUGUAGAGAUGGAAGCAAGAGAGUAAUUAGUGUUGUAUCAUAUGUUUUGUUUUUACUAGGUUUCUUCAAAAACUAGCUUCUGGGUAGCAUUCAACUGUGAAUUGUUUAUUCUCUCUACAGAACAAGUUUUAUAUGUUUACUUGAUUUGAAUUGUUAUGGGUAUUGAA
rnacentral:lncRNA from 1 species